AGCCUCAGAUCAAACGUGGUGACAUGCUGAAUGUAAUCAUCUCACUAAGCGGUGAUAAAGAAACUAACCAGGAUUCCCUCAGUAGCGGCAAGUGAAUUUCUGAUUCCACAGCAAGUGGCAGGUGCAGGAAAUGUGGCACACAGAAGACCGACUCCCCAGCAUUACUCAGGGGCCCAACUCCUUCUGUUCUGAGGAGUUCACCACUGGAUGGUGUUAGGUGGUAGCGUCCCCAGAACACCAGGAUCAGGUCUUCUCUGAGUCCGGUGCUUGGGUAUGCAGGCCAAAGUGGGUGGUAGUCUGCAUCUCAAUCUAAGUAUGGGUGCCAGACCAAUAGCCAACAAGCACCAAUAAGGGAAAGUUGACAAGUACUUUGAAGAGAGAGUUCAAGAUAACUUAAAACAUUGAGAGGUAAAUGGAUGGGGUCCAUGUAGUCCUGCCAGAGGGUUCAACACAGUGGGUGGGUUGGUCACCUGGAACAGCGGAUUCCUUUGUGGGAUAACACUCAGGCUUAUCUGGCCCACACAGGGUGCAUUUCCUCUGUGGAGAUACACUUUGCUGGCUCCAGGUCAGCUGUGAAUGCCCCAGGUGGCAGGUGGCUCUCCACUCUGGCAGAGAGUGUUACAGCCCACUGGCUGAAGUUUUACCAGAUCCACGGCAUCGAGGGAGAUUGACCACUGGCAUGCCUUUCCCAUAACCAUCCCUUUCCCAUCUCAGUGUUCAUCGGUGCAGAGAUGGGGGUUGGGUGCCCUGCUCACGGUGUCACUGUUGACUUGGGUGGACUGUCCUGAGUUUACCCUGACCGUGUCACACCACAGGUUAGGGAGGUCCACAAAGGACAGCAUUGAUCUGGAUUGAUGUCAGUCACCCACCCGACCGAUCUUGAAAAACAAACCAAUGAGUGUGUGAGUCAGAGAGGCAAGCAAAAUCCUGUGGGACAAUGACGAUGAGGGAGAUGGAGCAUGAACAUUUGUGAUAGGACCCAAAAGAUUUUGAACUAUGCCUGGACAGGGAAUAGCCAGAGGAAACACUGGUGGAGGUCUGUACUGUAGUGGUCCUGACAUACACAUCAGCCAUCCAACGUGGGUAAAGGAGCGGAAGACUAAUCAAACCAUCUAGUAGCAGGUUCCCUCUAAAGUUUCCCUCGACAUAGUUGUUGCUCGGAUACCCCAGUUUUAUCUGGUGAAACAGAUGAUUUGGUGUCUUGGGUACAAAACAAUCUCAACCUUUUCUCAAACCUUACAUGCACCAAUAUUUUUGUAUACAGAACUGGCGCUGCAGGAUGAACCAAAUGCCAGAUUAAGGCACACAAUACCAAUUCUCAUCAGGUCCCUGAAAAAAGGUGUUGGUUGAUAUAGACCACAGAACAGUGGCCAUAGAAGUUAGAAUCUUCUAAGCAGUCUUAAAGGAGUGUACAACAUCUCACCUGCUGAAUCAACUAGACCUUGCAAUGGAUGGCGCUGAAGCAUUGGUCCUAAACCCAACUGCUGCUGACUCUGACAGCAACAGGAGCUAAGUCUCAUUGAAUAGAAUGGCUACCGCAGUGUGCAUGGAAGCAUAGCGUGAGGGUUCGGGUGUAGCACACGCAGGUGCAGAUCUUGGUGUUAGUAGCAAAUAUUCAAAUGAGAACUUUGGCGGCCGUAGUGAAGGAGCUGUUGAACAUGGGUUAUUAUUUCCUAAGAGAUGGGCGAGUGCUGUUUGGAAAGGACAGGCAAUGGCCUUCAUUGCCCUCAGCCGAUAGAAAGGGAGUCAGGUUUAGAUCCCUAAACCCAGGGUGGAGUAGACAGGCACCCUUGCAGCAUACAAUGUGGUAACACAAAAGUUCCCAUAAAUUAUUGCAUGAGCCUUAAGGUGAGUUCUAUUUUCUUAGCCCACCCUGUAAUAGGUUCCCCCAAGAGAGGCGUCUGAGCUUUGGAAAGCACUGCGGUUUGGGUGGUGUAUGAUGAACUCUUGCUGGUCUGUGUUAAUCCAGAGGAGUUGGUAUAAAUCUUGUGCCAGAUUGUACCCAUAUCUCCAGCAAGGUGAACCACCUCUUGCAUGUUGGGUUUCAUGUAGGUAAGGUAAGUCAGCUAGUCAAAUCUAUAACUUCUUAUGCAAAUUGGCUCUAGAGACUUGGUCGGUUAGGCUGGUGGACUUAGCAGGGCUGGCCAUGCACCACAACUGGAUGAAACAUUUCCACCCCUGUGGCUCGCCAAACUCUGAUGAGAGCCAGGCCCUUCCUGUGGAUCACCCCAGCUGGGGUUGUGGCCUCUCUCCUUUCCCCUCCCGGGUUUCGGGGACGGUGUCCUACCUCAGCGGACACCUUACAGUUAACAUAGAACUGGUGUGGACCAGGGAACUCUGAUGGUUUCAUUGAAAAAUGCAUCACAAAGGUUAAUGGCAGGUGUUGAUACAACGUGAUUUCUGCCCAGUGCUCUGAAUGUCAAAGUGAGAACAUUCAAUGAACCACGAGUGAUGGGAGUAACUAUAACUCUGUUAAAGUGGCCAAAUGCCACAUCAUCUCAAUAAGGACAUUCAUGAAUGGAUGAAUGGAAUUCCCACUGUCCCUACCUACUAUCUAGUAAACCACAGCCAAGGGAACUGACUUGGCAAAAUCUUCGGGGAUAGGAGACCCUGUUGAGCUUGACUAUAGUCCGUCACUGUGAGGAGACAUGAAAGGUCUAGGAUAGAUGGGAGGCCCUCAAGCCAGAAGUGAAAUACUAUUUGUUAUAGUGUUGUCAUAUUGAUGUACAUAUUAUUGGCCAUGGUUGUACAUAGAUAUGUAAGACGCAUGUUAAUUAAGCGCAAGAUCUUGUAAUGCCUCAUGAUGUCAUUACGUGCUUUGACAUGGAAACUCUAGAACAACAGAUGGUGACUUUACAUAGUUCUGGUGGAAUGUUAGGGUUGUGGAGAUGGUCAAGGGUCUGGGCUGCUGAAGCUUGAACUGAGAAAUAAAUAAAAUGUAUUGGAACAUACUGUGGCAAGAGAAUCCUUGGUCUUAAUACUGGCAAAGAGGAUACAUCAUCGAGAGUGCAGCACUGCCAGAAGCCCAUCCAGAUGAUUGCCAUGAAGCAGAGUUGAAUGGUGUAACGGUGAGCAGCAGGCUGUGUCAUUGCAGAGCCAUGGUACUCCAUGUGUCCAGGUAGGAGACAGCAGUUCUGCGAGUGAUGGAGUUCUUGAAGCGCUGCAGCUCUUUCCACAAGUGUCAGAGAUUGAGGGACAACCCAGCUUAGCGGCAGGCGAACGAGGGACAGUGCUAAAAAAUGGAUGCACAGCAACAUACCAAGGGAGUGUCUAGCACCGUGCCUCAUCCAUGCGCAUAUCAGGCACAUUGCAGUAAAAGUAGGUGUGCAUCGACGCAGUGCUCAAGCAAUGGACAAUGACCGGCAAUCAUCCCAAUUGCCAGGGAGAUCUCGCAAGACUUCCCGGCCGCCAUUGU
rnacentral:rRNA from 1 species